AUGGGGUCAGUGGCUCUCCUGCUGUGGAUGCUGCUGUUCUGGGUACCAGGUUCCACUAGGAACAUUGUUCUGACCCAGUUUCCAGCUUCCUUGACUGUGUCUCUAGGACAAAAGGCCACCAUCUCCUGCAAGGCCAGUGACAGUGUCAAUAAAUUUGGCAUAAAUCUUAUGCAUUGGUAUCAACAGAAACCAGGACAGCCUCCCAAACUCCUGAUCGUUAAUGUGUACAGUCUAGAGUCUGGGAUCCCUGACAGGUUCAGUGGUGAUGACGAUGAAUUAAACUUCACCCUCACCAUCCAUCCUGUGGAAGCUGAUGAUGUUGCAACCUACUAUUGUCAGCAAGGACUAACACUUCCUCUCACAGCCCUCUAUGUCAAAGCAAAAACCUUCCAUGGUCGCUGCACUCUGAAGCCGAUUGUCUCAGAUGUCUUUCCCAUGAGAUAUCUCAACUAG